rnacentral:precursor_RNA from 15 species
GGAGCGAGGGACUGCACAACGGCUCAGCUGUCGACUUCCCUAGAGGGCAACAUGGAUUUCCCCAAAUGGUGUCGUUCUCGAGGGUAGUAGAUGGCUGAGCUGUUUUCAUGCAUCGCAGCAUCU